AAUAAUGUUUAACUUUUUGAAUGCCAUAAUAUUGUACUGUGCUAGGAUCUCUGACAAGCUACGAUUGUAAUAUUUUCCUUUCAUAUUGCCCACAUGUUCUCCUAGUCUCACAUAGGACAAACCUAAAGAAUGCCAAAAGUAAAAACAUGUGUGCAACAUAGGAAGAAAAUUUGACAACCAUACUUUGCCAGGUGAUUUUGCAAAAUGACAUAAUGGAGAUCUUAGCACACUACAAUAUUGUGGCAUCCAAAAAGUUAAAGCAGUACU